GCCUCCUUGGCUCAGUUGGUUAGAGCGCCUCAUAGAAAUAUGAGUAAUUUUAUGAUUAGGCCAGGCGCGAGGUCGUAAGUUCAAGUCUUGCCAGGGGCA
rnacentral:tRNA from 1 species